CCUACGGGGGGCAGCAGUGGGGAAUAUUGCACAAUGGGGGAAACCCUGAUGCAGCGACGCCGCGUGAGCGAAGAAGUAUUUCGGUAUGUAAAGCUCUGUCAGCAGGGAAGAAAAUGACGGUACCUGACCAAGAAGCACCGGCUAAAUACGUGCCAGCAGCCGCGGUAAUACGUAUGGUGCAAGCGUUAUCCGGAUUUACUGGGUGUAAAGGGAGCGUAGACGGAGGGGCAAGUCUGAAGUGAAAGCCCGGGGCCCAACCCCGGGACUGCUUUGGAAACUGUCCGUCUGGAGUGCCGGAGAGGUAAGCGGAAUUCCCAGUGUAGCGGUGAAAUGCGUAGAUAUUGGGAGGAACACCAGUGGCGAAGGCGGCUUACUGGACGGUCACUGACGUUGAGGCUCGAAAGCGUGGGGAGCAAACAGGAUUAGAUACCCCGGUAGUC
rnacentral:rRNA from 1 species